ensembl:lncRNA
GCUCUCCGUCCCCCCCUGCAGGAGGCCGGGGGAACUACAGCCAGACCCCCUGGUGAGGAGGGGGGGGGGGCCGGGGGAACUACAGCCAGACCCCUGGUGAGGAGGGGGGCCGGGGGAACCACAGCCAGUCCCCUUGGAGAGGAGGGGGAGGGGCCCGGUAGGGGGAGGGGCCCGGUAGGGGGGAGGGGCCAGGCUGUGCGGCGUAGAAUGAGGAAGAGGAGGAGGAAGGUUUUCUCCUGCGCUCAGUCUUCCUGUGGCACUUCCUGUGAACCGAGAAGGGGGCGGAGACAAGUGAGUAUUGGAGGGGCAUGUCUUCCCCAGGUGAGUGUGGGAGGGGCAUGUCUUCCCCAGGUGAGUGUGGGAGGGGCGUGUCUUCCCCAGGUGAGUGUAGGAGGGGCGUGUCCUCCCGAGGUGGGUGUGGGAGGGGCGUGUCUUCCCGAGGUGGGUGUUUGAGGGGCGUGUCUUCAGGUGACUGUCUUGUGUCGUGCUCUGUGAUUGGUGAAAAGGACCCAUCAAGCACCGCCUCCCCAAACAGCAGCCUCUCUGAUUGGCUGUGGUGGGCCGCUGGGGGGCCUGAGAGGGGGUCCCGCCUCCCUAGCGACUGGCCGUCGCCGUGGGAGACGCCGGGCCCUG